rnacentral:rRNA from 1 species
AUUGAACGCUGGCGGCAGGCCUAACACAUGCAAGUCGAGCGGCAGCGGAAAGUAGCUUGCUACUUUGCCGGCGAGCGGCGGACGGGUGAGUAAUGUCUGGGGAUCUGCCUGAUGGAGGGGGAUAACUACUGGAAACGGUAGCUAAUACCGCAUAACGUCGCAAGACCAAAGUGGGGGACCUUCGGGCCUCACGCCAUCGGAUGAACCCAGAUGGGAUUAGCUAGUAGGUGGGGUAAUGGCUCACCUAGGCGACGAUCCCUAGCCGGUCUGAGAGGAUGACCAGCCACACUGGGACUGAGACACGGCCCAGACUCCUACGGGAGGCAGCAGUGGGGAAUAUUGCACAAUGGGCGCAAGCCUGAUGCAGCCAUGCCGCGUGUGUGAAGAAGGCCUUCGGGUUGUAAAGCACUUCCAGCGAGGAGGAAGGGUGGUGUGUUAAUAGCACACGACAUUGACGUUACUCGCAGAAGAAGCACCGACUAACUCCGUGCCAGCCGCCGCCGUAA